rnacentral:rRNA from 1 species
UACGUAGGGUGCAAGCGUUUGUCCGGAAUUAUUGGGCGUAAAGAGCUCGUAGGCGGUCUGUCGCGUCUGCUGUGAAAACUCAGGGCUUAACCCUGAGCUUGCAGUGGGUACGGGCAGACUAGAGUGCGGUAGGGGAGACUGGAAUUCCUGGUGUAGCGGUGAAAUGCGCAGAUAUCAGGAGGAACACCGGUGGCGAAGGCGGGUCUCUGGGCCGUAACUGACGCUGAGGAGCGGAAAAGCAUGGGGGAGCGAACAGG